rnacentral:rRNA from 1 species
CACUGUCACUCCUACGGGGAGGCAGCAGUCGGGGAAUAUUGCACAAUGGGCGCAAGCCUGAUGCAGCCAUGCCGCGUGUAUGAAGAAGGCUCGGGUGUAAGUACUUUCAGUCGUGAGAAGGCGCGUCGUUAAUAGCGGCGUUGUUUGACGUUAGCGACAGAAGAAGCACCGGCUAACUCCGUGCCAGCAGCCGCGGUAAUACGGAGGUGCGAGCGUUAAUCGGAAUUACUGGGCGUAAAGCGCAUGCAGGUGGUUUGUUAAGUCAGAUGUGAAAGACCCGGGGCUCAACCUCGGAAUUGCAUUUAGUAAACUGGCAGACUAGAGUACUGUAGAGGGGGGUAGGAAUUUCAGGUGUAGCGGUGAAAUGCGUAGAGAUCUGAAGGAAUACCGGUGGCGAAGGCGGCCCCCUGGACAGAUACUGACACUCAGAUGCGAAAGCGUGGGGAGCAAACAGGAUUAGAUACCCUGGUAG